AAGGAUGAGAAUGAAAAACAAUGCGACAAAGGAGAAACAAACCCAUGAAUUGGGAGGGAUGAUCGCGACAGAGAAAUGGUGAAGGAGGCGCGAGAUCAAAAGGAUGAGAAUUGGGAGGUGGAGAGGAAGAGCUCCCAUAAAAGUAAUAAGCAUAAUGUCAAGUAAAUAAUGUUAGUAAUAAGUAUGUAAAAUAAUUCCUUCUAAUUUCAUGUGAUAAACCAU
rnacentral:lncRNA from 1 species